rnacentral:rRNA from 1 species
CAGGCCUAACACAUGCAAGUCGAGCGAUGAAAUCCUUCGGGGUGGAUUAGCGGCGGACGGGUGAGUAACACGUGGGUAACCUGCCUCAAAGAGGGGAAUAGCCUUCCGAAAGGAAGAUUAAUACCGCAUAAUAUGUUUUGAUCGCAUGAUCUUGACAUCAAAGGAGUAAUCCGCUUUGAGAUGGACCCGCGGCGCAUUAGCUAGUUGGUGAGGUAACGGCUCACCAAGGCGACGAUGCGUAGCCGACCUGAGAGGGUGAUCGGCCACAUUGGAACUGAGACACGGUCCAGACUCCUACGGGAGGCAGCAGUGGGGAAUAUUGCGCAAUGGGGGAAACCCUGACGCAGCAACGCCGCGUGAAUGAUGAAGGCCUUCGGGUUGUAAAGUUCUGUCUUCUGGGACGAUAAUGACGGUACCAGAGGAGGAAGCCACGGCUAACUACGUGCCAGCAGCCGCGGUAAUA